rnacentral:rRNA from 1 species
CCUACGGGAGGCAGCAGUGAGGAAUAUUGGUCAAUGGUCGGGAGACUGAACCAGCCAAGCCGCGUGAGGGAUGAAGGUACAGAGUAUCGUAAACCUCUUUUGUCAGGGAACAAAGGCGGGGACGCGUCCCCGGAUGAGUGUACCUGAAGAAAAAGCAUCGGCUAACUCCGUGCCAGCAGCCGCGGUAAUACGGGGGAUGCGAGCGUUAUCCGGAUUUGUUGGGGUUAAAGGGUGCGGGGGCGGUCUGGUAAGUCAGCGGUCAAAGCCCGGGGCUCAACCCCGGCCCGCCGUUGAAACUGGCAGUCUCGAGUUGGAGAGAAGUAUGCGGAAUGCGCGGUGUAGCGGUGAAAUGCAUAGAUAUCGCGCAGAACUCCGAUUGCGAAGGCAGCAUGCCGGCUCCACACUGACGCUGAGGCACGAAAGCGUGGGUAUCGAACAGGAUUAGAUACCCGGGUAGUC